UGUCUUCUCCAGAGGACUUUGUGACCUUUACAGCUUUUUCCGGGACUCUACCUAUUCAUUGGCCUUAAAAGUCGUUUUCAGUGAACCACUAUGUAAUAAUUGAUUCUUCCUUCAAGGUCUACUUCUAGUUGGAAAUAUGAAGAAUACAGUUAGAAACAUGAAGCAAAGAUCCAGUCAGAGUGUUACAGGGCUAAGUUGAGGGUAUUUUUUAGUUUUUGUUCUGUGGUGCUGAGAAUUGAGCCCAGGGCCUCCUGUAUGGUAGGCAAGUGCUCUAUCCUGGAUGUGUGUCCCCAGCCCAAGGUGGAAUUCUUAAGCCUAUGCCUAAAUAUGGUGCAUUAUGACAGAAAUCAUUCUUAUUUUGAAUUACAACAAUGUUGCUCAGGAAAUCAGUAUUUUUCUUCUCAGUAUGUGCAUAUUGCACUGUUAGAUCAUGGAAAUAUUUGAAUGCUUUAUUUCAUUUUAUGUAUGCAAACUCUGUAAAUCUUGUAUAAUGUAUUUUGUACAAUUGGAAAAUGUAAUAGUAGACUAUUGUUAGCAUGUACAACUGUAAAACUUUUGAAACUUUAUGCCCUUUAUUCAUAUUUUUAAAAGAUCUGAAAAUGUAAUAAAGUUUCUAUUUUAUUAUUCAGUCUAAAGUGAAAAGCUGGUGAAUUUAACUGGGUAAAGCCUACUUUCCCCCUUCUACUUUCUAAUUGUUUGAUACAGAGAUACAAGGUAGAGCAAGUUGCCGGAGGUCUCCAAGUUCAGAUUCCAGUUUGUUCCACUGGAUUACUGGUAGGACGUAAGUGAAACGAAAGCUCUAGGGUUUUAGUUUAAGGGAGUAAAUUGUGUUUUUUUCCAUGUGUUUUUCCAUUUUCGAAAGCAUCCUAAAGUAUUUAGGUUUGUUUUUUUUACUAAGUUUUUGCUAGCUGCAGACUUUACCAUCUUAAACCAAAGCCACUGACACUGUACACACAGAAAUGCACACCUGGGAGGGGAGGAACGUUAACAAGAAUCUCGGAAUGGCUUACCAUUCUGUGACAGUCCAGGGAGUCAGUGGUUAUGCUAAUAUUAUACUGCCUGCAAAUCACUGUCCUCACAACUUUUUCCUAAUCCCAUCCUAGAGUUUUCUUUUGUUGUUCAUGGCGGUGGUUUCUUCAGCAGUGCAUGAUGCAGGCAUCUCUGCUCCAUAAAUAUGUAUUUCACUAAAUAAAAUGUUAUUAUCAAACUCGCUUUCUAUAUCAAACGAAGUUAAAAGCAAAACAUCUUAGGGGCGAGAAUUUAGCUCAGUGGCACUGCACCUGCCUUGCAAGUGCAAGAUCCUGAGUUCAAUCCCUGCUACCAAAAAAAGCAAAACAUCUUAAUAGUAAAUAAAAU
rnacentral:lncRNA from 1 species